ACCUACAUUUGAAAGAUUAACCAAUAGGUGGCCAUUGUGGAUCGAAUCUGAGGUUGGUUGAGCUUCCAAUUCAAAUUUAGCGACCCCAACCCCCACCAAUUUAAAUUGUAGAUUUUCGCUUCAAUGUUAAAACGAAAAUCGAGGUGUUUCAAAUUGGAAGGGUUUUGGAGAAAGGGGAAAAAGAAAGGAGAAGGAAGAAAACGGAUUAAACUUGUAACGAAAGAUGAUUCUUAACGUGCGCACCUCUCUUCUCUCUCUUCCUA
rnacentral:lncRNA from 1 species